UGGGGAAUUUUGCGCAAUGGGGGAAACCCUGACGCAGCAACGCCGCGUGAAGGAAGAAGGCUUUCGAGUUGUAAACUUCUGUUCCGGGGGACGAUAAUGACGGUACCCCGGCAGCAAGCCCCGGCUAACUCCGUGCCAGCAGCCGCGGUAAUACGGGGGGGGCGAGCGUUGUUCGGAAUUACUGGGCGUAAAGGGCGCGUAGGCGGUCCGAGAAGUUUCGGGUGAAAGCCCCGGGCUCAACCCGGGAAGGUCCCGGAAAACCAUCGGACUGGAGUGCUGGAGAGGCAAGCGGAAUUUCUGGUGUAGCGGUGAAAUGCGUAGAUAUCAGAAGGAACAUCGGAGGCGAAGGCGGCUUGCUGGACAGCAACUGACGCUGAGGCGCGAAAGCCAGGGGAGCGAACGGG
rnacentral:rRNA from 1 species